CUGCCAAUGUAUAGCUUUCAAGGUAAACAGACCAAGCUCUCGAAAUCCAAACAAAGGAAAGCAUGAGCCUCUCUCUCUCUUUCAUUCGGUUGAAUUGGUAACUGCAUUGGCUAUUGGCUAUCCAUUCACAAAUCAUCUGAAAAAGUGGGUUGAUUCCCCCACCAGAUGUUUAAUCACUUGUUCAAUCCUAUCUUAAAAGAGAUGCUCAUCUGCUCUAGUUAGC
rnacentral:lncRNA from 1 species